UCAAACUUGGUCAUUUAGAGGAAGUAAAAGUCGUAACAAGGUUUCCGUAGGUGAACCUGCGGAAGGAUCAUUAAUGAGAAAAGAGAUGUUCUUAGCUGGCAAUGCAGGUGCUUGAACGUCUUUAUCCAUUUCACCCCUGUGCACAUGGAAGCGAGGUUGUUGGUUGUCGUAAGACGACUAUUGACUUAGCUUUAUUACAAACUCGUCUAUUGUCUUGUAGAAUGUAUUGCCUCUUUGUUGGGCUAAAUGUAAUACAACUUUCAACAACGGAUCUCUUGGCUCUCGCAUCGAUGAAGAACGCAGC
rnacentral:misc_RNA from 1 species